rnacentral:lncRNA from 1 species
CAAACAUGGCACAUUUAUGGUAGAAAGGUUUGGUAGAUGAGAUGUAUAUGUAAAAAUCCCUUCAUUUUAUCAACUUUAGAACAACUAGGCUACAUGAUUAAACCAACAACCAAAUUGGGCCCAAGUCCAAUAGUUGAUACCUUACAAGACUUUAAAUAUUAUUGAGAAAAUAUGUUGGACUUUCAAACAAUAAAUAUUCAAGCCAAACUCUAACUUGAGCUAGAUAUCAAAUGCAACAAAAAUUUCAAACCAGCUAACUCAUUUUUUUUUACACCAAAACAGUAUCAAAAUCUAUGAAAACAAUCAGUCUUUGGCCUUUCGGAGAGUUUACAUUCUCUCAUAGCGGGAGGGCCAAGAUUAACUACAGAAUUAGUCCAACAAACAUGCUAAUCGAGUUUUUCAAGAGGAUUCAAACCAAAUAUUAUGGCCAAGCGUUCAGUUGGGCAACACCAAAGUUUAAAUAUCAUCCCUACUGAACAAAAUUUUACUCAAGUCUUCAGGGCAGUCCUAUGUCAAAUACAUUGUAUAGAAUUCACAUAUUCAAACCAAAUUUCAAUCAAUCUAGAUAACAACAUCAGAUUUCAACAAAAACUAAAAGAGCACAAUUAAAUCGACCCGGCUUGAAACCAUAUUUUUCAUUUCACCCUUUGAUUCAAGCUUUACAUAAGGGCAAAAUACAGAAGUGUACCUGAAAAUUGAAAAGGAAGAAAGGGUAAGGAUCAUUCAAGCAAUAGCACCAGGUGUCUCAGCAACUAAACACAGCUUCAGCCCAGGAAUAAAUAAGGAAUGACCAACUUGGAAACAAUUUCGGACCAGCAACAUCAUUCAAUAAAGUCCAACAACCAAAACACUUGAAUACCAAAUGAGUCAACUCAUUUUAAACUUCAGUUGUUCAGGACUUAUAUCAGAAUGGAGAUUCUUAGGAAUUUCAGAAAAUUUCAAUAGAACGGUAAAAUGUUUUUGUAGUUUUUCAACCGCCUAUGCUUCUCUAUUUUAGCUUCUUCAAAAUCUGACUUCAAUAGCAAGGAAAGGAUGCAUUUAUAGGUAAGAAAGUAGGGCAGUCCUAAGGUUUUGAUUUUUGCCCUUCAACCCUUUUCAAUUUAUGCCUUUUGCUUAAAAGUCCCUAAAAUUCUUACUUGUCUUCCAAGUUAUACUAUCAAAAGACUGAAUUCACAAAGAAACCCCUUGCUAGAAGUUUCCUAGGCAGUUAUACUAAAAUUCUCUAAGUUAGAUUACCUACAUUACCCCUAAUUGCCCUGAAAAUUACCUUAAGAUACCAAAGAGACUUGAGCUCAAAACAGCUGGGCACCUUUGAAUAGGGUCACAAAUGACUCAAAGAACCCAAAGCUGAUUCCAAAUAAAUAUCCAAGAUCCAAAUUCUGACCCAGCCCCAAUAUCAGUUAACGGACGACCUCCAAAAGAAACCACUCAAUUUAACACUUGAAAAAAUGAAUUAAUUCUAUUUAUUUAAAAAGAUUAAACAUAGUUAACUCAAGUCUAUUACUUAUACAGAUUAGAGCAGAAACAAGAGGAAGAAAAAAAAAUCAGAGAUAGCAAAGGAUAUGGAGGAGGAACAACAAAAAAUAAACUCAAAUAAUUGAGGAAGACAAUGGGGAAUAGGCAAAGAAAAUACCUUCAAAGGAAAAUACUUAACAAAACCGAUAAGCCUGAACGGCCCUCCGACCUCCGACGUUCUAUGACUUGAACAAAAUUAGUAUUAUUCGCGUGUUCUCAUCAAGAACAAAUGAGCUUCACCAAAUUAUUUUUCUAGGAAUCUCGAAGACUUGGGGGAUUUUUGUUUUCUUCUACUCUUUUUAGAUUCUAAAACUAGUAUGGUUUUGUUAGGAUUUGAGGAGAUCUGGUGGUGGAUUGGAAAUCAGGUGUGGGUGAUAGUUGUAUGGCAGAGAUUUGGAGUUGUUUGGAAGUUCGCCACCGGAGAAAAUGGUGGAAGUCUCUCACGACGGCGCUGGGGUCGACAAAGGAGAUAGAGAGACAGACAGUGUUUGUGGUUUAGUCUUAGGUUUAAUGUGGGAUAUUCAGACAUAUUAAUGUAAUGGGGGAUACUCUGCCAUAUGAUGAACUAGAUUGGAGGGCUCAGAUUCAUUUGAGGACUGAUCCUCGAGACUACGUCGUUUGGGAUGAGGGCUGACCGGGGUUGGGGGAUU